CCUACGGGAGUCAGCAGUGGGGAAUAUUGGGCAAUGGGCGCAAGCCUGACCCAGCAACGCCGCGUGAAGGAAGAAGGCUUUCGGGUUGUAAACUUCUUUUGUCAGGGACGAAGCAAGUGACGGUACCUGACGAAUAAGCCACGGCUAACUACGUGCCAGCAUCCGCGGUAAUACGUAGGUGGAAAGCGUUAUCCGGAUGUACUGGGUGUAAAGGGCGUGUAGGCGGGACUGCAAGUCAGAUGUGAAAACCACGGGCUCAACCUGUGGCCUGCAUUUGAAACUGUAGUUCUUGAGUACUGGAGAUGCAGACGGAAUUCCUAGUGUAGCGGUGAAAUGCGGAGAUAUUAGGAGGAACACCAGUGGCGAAGGCGGUCUGCUGGACAGCAACUGACGCUGAGGCGCGAAAGCGUGGGGAGCAAACAGGAUUAGAUACCCGAGUAGUC
rnacentral:rRNA from 1 species